ACGGCUCCUUUCUUUCGCAAUCACACUAAUUCCCAGGAUGUGUGGUAUGUCCUGAUGGGAAUCCCAGGGCUGGAAGGCUUGCAUACCUGGAUCUCCAUCCCUUUUUCUUUUAUGUACAUUGUGGCUGUUGCAGGCAAUAUCUUCUUGAUCUUCCUGAUCAUGACUGAGCGCAGUCUCCAUGAGCCCAUGUAUCUCUUCCUAUCCAUGCUGGCCUCAGCCGACUUCCUGCUCGCCACUGCUGCAGCCCCUAAGGUGCUGGCUAUCCUCUGGUUCCACUCCAUGGACAUAUCCUUUGGUAGUUGUGUGUCUCAGAUGUUCUUCAUACAUUUCAUCUUUGUGGCAGAAUCUGCUAUUCUCCUGGCAAUGGCAUUUGACCGCUAUGUGGCCAUCUGUUACCCACUGAGAUACACCAUUUUAACCUCAUCAGCCGUCAGGAAGAUUGGCAUAGCAGCUGUGGUCAGGAGCUUUUUCAUCUGCUGUCCGUUCAUCUUCCUGGUAUACCGACUUACAUAUUGUGGGAGAAACAUCAUUCCUCAUUCCUACUGUGAGCACAUUGCCAGAUUGGCUUGUGGCAAUAUCAAUGUCAAUAUCAUUUAUGGCCUCACUGUGGCCCUACUCUCUACAGGACUGGAUAUAGUGCUUAUCAUUAUAUCCUACACAAUGAUCCUUCACUCAGUGUUUCAGAUAUCUUCCUGGGCUGCCAGGUUCAAGGCCCUUAGUACGUGCGGCUCUCAUAUCUGUGUCAUAUUUAUGUUCUAUACCCCAGCAUUCUUUUCAUUUCUUGCCCAUCGCUUUGGAGGUAAAACCAUCCCUCACCACAUUCACAUCCUAGUGGGCAGUCUCUAUGUGUUAGUGCCCCCUAUGCUAAACCCCAUCAUUUAUGGGGUGAAGACCAAACAAAUUAAAGAUCGAGUGAUUUUGCUUUUCUCUCCUAUCAGUGUAUGCUGUUAA